rnacentral:rRNA from 1 species
AUUGAACGCUGGCGGCAUGCCUUACACAUGCAAGUCGAACGGUAACGCGGGGCAACCUGGCGACGAGUGGCGAACGGGUGAGUAAUGUAUCGGAACGUGCCCAGUUGUGGGGGAUAACUGCUCGAAAGAGCAGCUAAUACCGCAUACGACCUGAGGGUGAAAGCGGGGGAUCGCAAGACCUCGCGCAAUUGGAGCGGCCGAUAUCAGAUUAGGUAGUCGGUGGGGUAAAGGCCCACCAAGCCAACGAUCUGUAGCUGGUCUGAGAGGACGACCAGCCACCCUGGGACUGAGACACGGCCCAGACUCCUACGGGAGGCAGCAGUGGGGAAUUUUGGACAAUGGACGCAAGUCUGAUCCAGCCAUGCCGCGUGCGGGAAGAAGGCCUUCGGGUUGUAAACCGCUUUUGUCAGGGAAGGAACGCUCUGGGUUAAUACCUCGGGGUAAUGACGGUACCUGAAGAAUAAGCACCGGCUAACUACGUGCCAGCCGCCGCAGUAACAC